rnacentral:lncRNA from 1 species
AACGUCAAAGGACAAAAUUGCCCUUAACAAAAACACUACUCUCCACCCAACUAUCUCCAUCGAUCACCUUCAAUGCCCUUUGUAUCAGGGUUUCAAAAUAAGGAAAAUUGAAAUAGGAGAUUAGAGUAGAAUUAUUUCUUUCUUGGAGAUGGAAAACGGAGUUUACAGAUACGGGAAGUAGUGCAUCAUUCACACUUCUUGGACAGAUUGGAACCCAGGUAGAAAGUUUAUGUGCUGUGAGUUGAGAAAUAUAAGUUUUUCUCUAGAUUUACUGGGUUUGGGUUGAAGUUGAUUCAUUGGCACCAUGUUUACUACAUUUGGUUUGAAAUUAAAAAUUUGCAGGUGAGGUAGAGUAUUGUUUGUGAUUUCUUUGAAUAGUUUGAUCCCGCCAUAUGCAAUAGAUCAAAGUAGAUUAUUCCUGGUUUACUUAGAAAAAUAAACUCUUUGGAAGAUCAAUUGAGGAGGCAACAGAGAAGGGAGAAAUGGCUGUGGUGUUGCUUUUGUUAUUUUUGUUGUUGUAAUCUUCUUGAAGUGAGAGUAACAAUAGUAGUUAUAAGAAUUGUAACUAUGCUUAUGUUAUGUUUAAUGAAGUGCCUCGAUGAAUUUGAACUGGAACUGGAGGCUGCAUAAUCUUUGAAUAGGGCUUCCUUUUUAUUUUUGGGCAACAUUUGCUAAGCUUAAGCUUUGUAGCAAUGCUUUAUGUAAUUCCUUAAUUCUCCUACAUUAAUAUGAAGAUUGCUUAAUUCCAUCAUCUAUUUGCCAUUAGUUGUAUGUUUUGUCCAUAUGAAUAAAGAUUAAUUACAAAUUUUUCUAUCAA